GACGAACGCUGGCGGCGUGCUUAACACAUGCAAGUCGAACGGAAAGGCCUCUUUCGGGGGGUACUCGAGUGGCGAACGUGUGAGUAACACGUGAGUAACCUGCCCUUGACUUUGGGAUAACUUCAGGAAACUGGGGCUAAUACCGGAUAGGAGCUCCUGCUGCAUGGUGGGGGUUGGAAAGUUUCGGCGGUUGGGGAUGGACUCGCGGCUUAUCAGCUUGUUGGUGGGGUAGUGGCUUACCAAGGCUUUGACGGAUAGCCGGCCUGAGAGGGUGACCGGCCACAUUGGGACUGAGAUACGGCCCAGACUCCUACGGGAGGCAGCAGUGGGGAAUAUUGCACAAUGGGUGGAAGCCUGAUGCAGCAACGCCGUGUGCGGGAUGACGGCCUUCGGGUUGUAAACCGCUUUCGCUCAUGACGAAGCUUUGUGUGACGGUAGUGGGUAAAGAAGCACCGGCUAACUACGUG
rnacentral:rRNA from 1 species